rnacentral:rRNA from 1 species
AUUGAACGCUGGCGGCAUGCCUUACACAUGCAAGUCGAACGGUAACAGGUCUUCGGUUGCUGACGAGUGGCGGCCGGGUGAGUAAUACAUCGGAACGAGCCCAGACGUGGGGGAUAACGCGGCGCACGCUUUGCUAAUACCGCAUACGUCCUAAGGCUGACAGCAGGGGACCGAUAGGACUUGCGCGCCUGGAGCGGCCGCUGGCCGAUUAGGUAGUUGGUGGGAUAAAAGCUUACCAAGCCGACGCUCUGUAGCUGGUCUGAGAGGACAACUAGCCACACGGGGACUGAGACACGGCCCAGACUCCUACGGGAGGCAGCAGUGGGGAAUUUUGGACAAUGGGCGAAAGCCUGAUCCAGCAAUGCCGCGUACAGGAGUAAGGCCUUCGGGUUGUAAACUGCUUUUGUACGGAACGAAAAGGCUCUGGCUAAUACCUGGGGCACAUGACGGUACCGUAAGAAUAAGCACCGGCUAACUACGUG